AACAUGUCUGUGUGAAGUUAAUUAUAAAGUCUAGCCUGCCCACNGAUUUAUUUAAAGGGCCGCGGUAAUUUGACCGUGCGAAGGUAGCAUAGUCAGUAGUCUUUUAAUUGGAGGCUUGAAUGAAUGGUUGGACGAGGGAUGAGCUGUCUCCUUUACGUAGCUUGAAUUUAACUUUUGAGUGAAAAGGCUCAGAUUAUUUAAUGGGNCGAUAAGNCCCUAUAAAACUUGAUAUAGGUUUAGCUUGGUUUGUGAUGUAAGUGAAAAGUUGCUUUGCUUGGCUUAUAUUUCGUUGGGGAGAUGAAGAUAUAAAGNGUAACUGUCUAUUAAAUUUAAUAGUGNUAAGUAGUGUGUGAUCCUUCAUUUGUGGAUUAAA
rnacentral:rRNA from 1 species